rnacentral:lncRNA from 1 species
AAGGCGUGGGGUAAUGGACUUCACCUCUUGAUGAAAGAAGCCCAAAGAAUUUGUGGUCACCUUUUUCAACCUUGCACAGAAAUUAAUCUCUCCUUCAGUUAAAAUAGAAACCACUAAGACUUGCCUCUUGGAGUAAGAAUCAUUCAGUGUUCAGUUUGCUGAUGCUGAUACGGUAAAUGACCAGGGCUUCAUAUAAAGCUACAAUGAAGACAUAAUGACACCUCCUUUCUUUAUUAUCACACCUUUUACCAAGGUCACUCUGAGUAAGUCUAUCUUGUAUUAUGCAGGUGGGAAUGAAUUUUGUUCAGAGUUAACUGCACUAGGAAUUUUCCUAGUUAUUAUUAAAAACAGUCACAGAAUAUUGUUGCUCUUUGCUUAUAUUACUUCCUUCUAAAUUCCCUUUCUCUGAAAUCUGAGAUGGUACAACUUUGGUUUUUUUUCCUAGUUUCUUGAUGAAGAGGUUUUAAAGAAUCCCAUUCCCUCCUCCCUGCUCCAGGACUUCUGUCCCUUGGUUAUUCUUACCUUUACCUACUUCUUCAGCUUCUCCACUGGAACCUUUCAAGUGACACUCAAACAUGCUGUACUCUUUAACAAUCCUCCAGUGACCUCAUUUCUCUUUCCACUUGUCAUCCUGUCUGCUACCCUUCUGAGCCAAGCUUCUUGGAAAAACUGCUAUACAUCCAGUAUCUACUUUCUCACUUCCCAUUCAUUGUUUCAACGUACUCCAAAAUGGCUUUUCCCCAUUAUUCCAGCAAAAGUGCUUUUGCUAAGGUCACGGGUGACAUUCAUAUUGCUAGAUCCACUGGACUUUUCAGUAUUCAUCUAAGUGUUCAUUUGACUACCUCAACCUGGAGAUUCCUGUGGACAACUUUGACAUUACCCUGUCAACUCCUCAGUCCCUUUUGCCAGGUUUUCCUCCAGCCUCACUGCCAACUCCGCAGUCCCCUUUGCCAGCUACCCUGAUCUAGUCAGCCCUAAAUGUUGGAGUUCCUCAGAUCUUUAUCUCACACUACAUUUUCCUUAAGCAAUUUCAUUCAUUCUAUGGCUCUAAGUACCAUUUCUGUAUACAACUUCAAAAUUUAUAUUUUUUAGUUCCAUAGAUACAACUGCCUUGUAAACCUGGUAAGUCUAAAAGCCAUGCUCCUGAACUCACUCUUUCCCCCCAGGGAUCCUGCAUGCAUAAAGGCUAAAGCCUUUUUUGCCAGAAGCCCUUUCUUCUUCCUCACUUUCCGCUUCCAAACCAUGACUACAUCCUGUCAGACUUCACCUGGACUCUAUCCCCUUCUCUCCACUUUUAUGACCAUCACCAUCAUUCACUUAGACAACCAUGUCACUGCAAAAGCUAUAAAUGUCCUCAGAGGCUGCUCUAUGGAGUAGCCAUUCUGUUUCUUUACUUUCUUAAUCAACUUGCUUUCAAAAAUGUCCUGAGAUACGCUUUCCCAUUUCCCACGUUAAAAUCAAGUUUAUGGCCCAGUGGGAGGAUCACCUGAGGCCAGGAGUUUGAGACCAGUCUGGGUAACAUUGUAAGACUCUGUCUCUAAAAAAAUACAAAAACAUGCUGGGUAUGGUGGCACAUGCCUGUAAUCCUAGCUACUAGGAGGCUGAGGCAGGAAGAUCGCUUAAGAACAGGAAUUCGACACUGCACUGAGCUAUGAUCGCUCCACUGCACUCCAGCCUGGGCAACAGAGUGAGACCAUCUUAAAAAAAAUCAGUUUUAUGUGGUAUGUCUUGUGUUGUGUUAUGUCCCUCUGAAUGCUAUACGUUUCUUCAUGGCAUAUCACAAUUUGCAUCUUAUAUAAUUACUGUAUAAUCUCCUGUCUUUCCUAGUAGACAGGCACAAAACUCUACAAGGCACUGGCUAUUUUAUUCACUACUGUAUCUCCAGCACCAAGCACAGUGCCAGGCUAGGUGAACAAAUGAAUGAUUUAUGUAUUUUUUUUCUCUUCUAAAGAAUUACGUUCUGUAAAUAAUAAAAAGCAUUGUCUUUUUGGCUUAUGUCCCAUUCAACAAUUGUUUUUCACUCUCAAUAUUCCCUACAAACACAUUUGUUUAGUAUUUUUCUGAUUAAUAAAAUAUAGCUUCCCCCCGGAAAAGAUGCCCUUUCCUCUUUUAAAAUGAAUAUUAAAGAGAUUUCCAACUACCAGAUAUUUUCAUAACUGAUAUACAAAACAAGGUUUUUAAACAGGUUGUUUUUUCUCAUAUUAAAUAUUGGUGACAUAAAAUGGUACCAUCUGCAAGACAAACUAUUAACACUUGGAAAGAACACUUUUCUAACUCUAAAAUGGAUUCUAUGUGGGGGGAAAAAGCAGUUUUAAAGGCACGAUUUAAAAUGUGAAAUCCUUCUGAAGAUAUGCAAUUUAUUGGUCUUUUGCAGUUUAUUGGCAGUGAUCUUUUACAGAACAAAAAUGCAAAAUGUAAGAAAGUAAAGUAUCAUAAAGCAGAAUCCCAAAAUGGAAAUGUAACAUACAAAACUGAUACACCAGAAAUAUUGUGAAAUACGGAUGUCACAUUGCUU